rnacentral:rRNA from 1 species
GUGGGGAAUAUUGGACAAUGGGCGCAAGCCUGAUCCAGCCAUGCCGCGUGAGUGAUGAAGGUCUUAGGAUUGUAAAGCUCUUUCACCGGUGAAGAUAAUGACGGUAACCGGAGAAGAAGCCCCGGCUAACUUCGUGCCAGCAGCCGCGGUAAUACGAAGGGGGCUAGCGUUGUUCGGAAUUACUGGGCGUAAAGCGCAUGUAGGCGGAUAUUUAAGUCAGGGGUGAAAUCCCGCAGCUCAACUGCGGAACUGCCUUUGAUACUGGGUAUCUUGAGUAUGGAAGAGGUGAGUGGAAUUCCGAGUGUAGAGGUGAAAUUCGUAGAUAUUCGGAGGAACACCAGUGGCGAAGGCGGCUCACUGGUCCAUUACUGACGCUGAGGUGCGAAAGCGUGGGGAGCAAACAGGAUUAGAAACCCCGGUAGUCC